rnacentral:rRNA from 1 species
UACAGAGGGUGCAAGCGUUAAUCGGAAUUACUGGGCGUAAAGCGUGCGUAGACGGUUGCGUAAGUCAGAUGUGAAAGCCCCGGGCUCAACCUGGGAAUUGCAUUUGAGACUGCGUAGCUAGGGUGCGGAAGAGGGAAGCGGAAUUUCCGGUGUAGCGGUGAAAUGCGUAGAUAUCGGAGGGAACAUCAGUGGCGAAAGCGGCUUCCUGGACCAGCACCGACGUUCAGGCACGAAAGCGUGGGGAGCAAACAGG